GGCGGAGACCGGAGAUGUUUUCGAGCCCGGCCUCGGCGGCGUUCGCGGCGGUUGCGGCGGCGGUGGCGGAGAGCACGACAGCGACGGCGGAGCCGAGGCCUUCGUCCCGGGGGUAGACCCUCCCGCGCCGGCCGUGCCUGGGGUCUGUGCGGGCGAGGGGGGCGUGGCGACAGGCGAGGAGGAAGGAGGGGCGCGGUUUCGAGCCCCGGCCCCGGCGCCCGGGAGGAGCCCCUCAGUCGCGCCCGCUCCCGUCUCCUCCCCAGAGCGAGAAACAGAUAAACCUAGGAGAAGAAAGCUAUGGAGUGUUUAUAGCAUAACUAACAACCUGUAGAGGAACAAACUAGUGAUGAUACCAGUGCUUGAAUGCUCUUCAGAAUCCAUUUCAUUGUAAGUUAAAAUACUCUUCCAAAGAGUUAUCAUCCUGUGAAAAAAGGAAAUGAUAGUAAAAUGUUUUGUUUUGUUUUUAAAGAGACUAUCAGGCUGCCUAAUGUGGUUAUUUUAAAAUUAGAUGGUAACCCACACACCCACAUACAUACACAUUGUGUUUAGUAUGGUAGGGAAAUCCGCUAUUUUUAAUUUUUCUAAGUGAAUUCUUUUCUGAGAUCUUUUAUAUGAUUAAAAAUGAUCCAUCAUUUAAUUUGUUUUUCAAACUUCCCUGAUGAUAAGAACCACUGGGAUAUUUAUUGAAAGGACAAAUUCCUACGUCUUUUUCAGACCUACUAAAUGUGUAGCACUUAUCAUCGAGGACUUCUGGGGCCACUAUUGUUUAUUAUCUUGAUAAAUUUUAAGUUGUUAAUGGAUUCAGUUUUUUUGACUAGUAAUCAGAUGAUGUAACUUGUGCUAAGUACAGAUUCUGUGACUAUUUAGAGAGCUGUGAAAUUUCUAAGUGUUUUUGAGAGUAGCAUACAUGUAGGAAGGGGGAACAGUGGAAGGUGACACUGAAUAUAUAGAUGGUUCAAGACAAUGAUACUAACCAACCAGAAAUAGUCACCCAUCCAUUACUCACCACUGUGUAAGAAAUUUAAUGAGUUUUUGGUAUAAUUUUGACUCAGCUUAAAAAAAAACAAAAAACAAAAAACAACCAACCUUUGUUCUUAAAGUGCUUACACUAAAAGAAUAAAUGGCAUAUGUGCAGUUUCUUCAUCCAAAGGAUGUUUAGUUUAUACUCAAGUUUUUGAUGUACCUAUAUUUGCUAUCUUGGUACUUCUGAAUAGCAACUGGAAUAGUUUAUUAGAAACAAAGUUAUUCAGAUAGCAAUACUAUUAAAGAUAAUUUUUUUUUAGUAUCCCUUGAAUGAUCACAAACAGGAACAUCAUUUUAAAAAAAACUUUAGAAUGCUGAAUCACUUUUAGAAAAAGAUAUGUUUUACUACUGUGAUUAAGUAGAGUAGAAAAACUCUUGAAUAUAAUAGCAUACAUUU
rnacentral:lncRNA from 1 species